GCUUGAAUCUGCCAUCUCUUGACUAGAGUUCUAUGAUACAAAGAAGAUUAGCAUUGCCCCUGCGGAAGGAUGAUACGCACAAAUCGAGAAAUGUUUCAAAUUCUU